rnacentral:rRNA from 1 species
AUGAGCCUAUGUCGGAUUAGCUAGUUGGUAAGGUAAUGGCUCACCAAGGCAACGAUCCGUAGCUGGUCUGAGAGGAUGAUCAGCCACAUCGGGACUGAGACACGGCCCGAACUCCUACGGGAGGCAGCAGUGGGGAAUAUUGGACAAUGGGGGCAACCCUGAUCCAGCCAUGCCGCGUGUGUGAAGAAGGCCCUCGGGUUGUAAAGCACUUUCAGCGAGGAAGAACGCCUAUCGGUUAAUACCCGGUAGGAAAGACAUCACUCGCAGAAGAAGCACCGGCUAACUCCGUGCCAGCAGCCGCGGUAAUACGGAGGGUGCAAGCGUUAAUCGGAAUUACUGGGCGUAAAGCGCGCGUAGGUGGCUUGAUAAGCCGGUUGUGAAAGCCCCGGGCUCAACCUGGGAACGGCAUCCGGAACUGUCAGGCUAGAGUGCAGGAGAGGAAGGUAGAAUUCCCGGUGUAGCGGUGAAAUGCGUAGAGAUCGGGAGGAAUACCAGUGGCGAAGGCGGCCUUCUGGACUGACACUGACACUGAGGUGCGAAAGCGUGGGUAGCAAACAGGAUUAGAUACCCUGGUAGUCCACGCCGUAAACGAUGUCGACCAGCCGUUGGGUGCCUAGAGCACUUUGUGGCGAAGUUAACGCGAUAAGUCGACCGCCUGGGGAGUACGGCCGCAAGGUUAAAACUCAAAUGAAUUGACGGGGGCCCGCACAAGCGGUGGAGCAUGUGGUUUAAUUCGAUGCAACGCGAAGAACCUUACCUACCCUUGACAUCUACAGAAGCCGGAAGAGAUUCUGGUGUGCCUUCGGGAACUGUGAGACAGGUGCUGCAUGGCUGUCGUCAGCUCGUGUUGUGAAAUGUUGGGUUAAGUCCCGUAACGAGCGCAACCCUUGUCCUUAUUUGCCAGCAAGUAAUGUCGGGAACUCUAAGGAGACUGCCGGUGACAAACCGGAGGAAGGUGGGGACGACGUCAAGUCAUCAUGGCCCUUACGGGUAGGGCUACACACGUGCUACAAUGGCCCGUACAAAGGGCUGCGAGCUCGCGAGAGUCAGCGAAUCUCUUAAAGCCGGUCUCAGUCCGGAUCGGAGUCUGCAACUCGACUCCGUGAAGUCGGAAUCGCUAGUAAUCGUGAAUCAGAAUGUCACGGUGAAUACGUUCCCGGGCCUUGUACACACCGCCCGUCACACCAUGGGAGUGGACUGCACC